UCCCGGUUGGCCCGGGCAGUAUCGUAUGAAAAAUACAACAUACGACAAGGGUUGCGCUCGUUGCGGGACUUAACCCAACAUCUCACGACACGAGCUGACGACGGCCAUGCAACACCUGUCACCUGGUUCCCGAAGGCACUCCCCAAUCUCUUGGGGAUUCCAGGGAUGUCAAGGGUCGGUAAGGUUCUUCGCGUAGCUUCGAAUUAAACCACAUGCUCCACCGCUUGUGCGGGUCUCCGUCAAUUCCUUUGAGUUUUAAGCUUGCGCUCGUACUCCCCAGGCGGCAUGCUUAACGCGUUAGCUUCACAGCACAGAGGGUCGAUACUCCAUACUAUCAGCAUGCAUCGUUUACGGCGUGGACUAC
rnacentral:misc_RNA from 1 species